rnacentral:rRNA from 1 species
AUUGAACGCUGGCGGCAUGCUUUACACAUGCAAGUCGAGCGAGCGGCGGACGGGUGAGUAAUGUCUUGGAACCUGCCUGCUGGUGGGGGCUAACUAAUCGAAACGUUAGCUAAUACCGCAUAUUAUUCGAUCUGCCCAUAUCGGAUUAGCUAGUGGGGGGGGUAAUGGCCGACCAAGGCGACGAUCCCUAGCGGGUCUGAGAGGAUGAGCAGCAAAACGGGGACGGAGACACGGUCCAGACUCCUACGGGAGGCAGCAGUGGGGAAUAUUGGACAAUGGGCGCAAGCCUGAUGCAGCCAUGCCGCGUGUGAAGAAGGCCGUCGGGUUGGAAAGGACUUUCAGCGAGGAGGCGUUACUCGCAGAAGAAGCACCGGCUAACUACGUGCCAGCAGCCGCGGUAAUUC